GACGAACGCUGGCGGCGUGCUUAACACAUGCUAGUCGAACGGAAAGGCCCUGCUUUUGUGGGGUGCUCGAGUGGCGAACGGGUGAGUAACACGUGAGUAACCUGCCCUUGACUUUGGGAUAACUUCAGGAAACUGGGGCUAAUACCGGAUAGGAGCUCCUGCUGCAUGGUGGGGGUUGGAAAGUUUCGGCGGUUGGGGAUGGACUCGCGGCUUAUCAGCUUGUUGGUGGGGUAGUGGCUUACCAAGGCUUUGACGGGUAGCCGGCCUGAGAGGGUGACCGGCCACAUUGGGACUGAGAUACAGCCCAGACUCCUACGGGAGGCAGCAGUGGGGAAUAUUGCACAAUGGGCGGAAGCCUGAUGCAGCAACGCCGCGUGCGGGAUGACGGCCUUCGGGUUGUAAACCGCUUUCGCCUGUGACGAAGCGUGAGUGACGGUAAUGGGUAAAGAAGCACCGGCUAACUACGUGCCAGCAGCCGCGGUGAUACGUAGGGUGCGAGCGUUGUCCGGAUUUAUUGGGCGUAAAGGGCUCGUAGGUGGUUGAUCGCGUCGGAAGUGUAAUCUUGGGGCUUAACCCUGAGCGUGCUUUCGAUACGGGUUGACUUGAGGAAGGUAGGGGAGAAUGGGAUUCCUGGUGGAGCGGUGGAAUGCGCAGAUAUCAGGAGGAACACCAGUGGCGAAGGCGGUUCUCUGGGCCUUUCCUGACGCUGAGGAGCGAAAGCGUGGGGAGCGAACAGGCUUAGAUACCCUGGUAGUCCACGCUGUAAACGGUGGGUACUAGGUGUGGGGUCCAUUCCACGGGUUCCGUGCCGUAGCUAACGCUUUAAGUACCCCGCCUGGGGAGUACGGCCGCAAGGCUAAAACUCAAAGGAAUUGACGGGGCCCCGCACAAGCGGCGGAGCAUGCGGAUUAAUUCGAUGCAACGCGUAGAACCUUACCUGGGUUUGACAUGGAUCGGGAGUGCUCAGAGAUGGGUGUGCCUCUUUUGGGGUCGGUUCACAGGUGGUGCAUGCCUGUCGUCAGCUCGUGUCGUGAGAUGUUGGGUUAAGUCCCGCAACGAGCGCAACCCUUGUUCACUGUUGCCAGCACGUUAUGGUGGGGACUCAGUGGAGACCGCCGGGGUCAACUCGGAGGAAGGUGGGGAUGACGUCAAGUCCUCAUGCCCCUUAUGUCCAGGGCUUCACGCAUGCUACAAUGGCUGGUACAGAGAGUGGCGAGCCUGUGAGGGUGAGCGAAUCUCGGAAAGCCGGUCUCAGUUCGGAUUGGGGUCUGCAACUCGACCUCAUGAAGUCGGAGUCGCUAGUAAUCGCAGAUCAGCAACGCUGCGGUGAAUACGUUCCCGGGGCU
rnacentral:rRNA from 1 species